rnacentral:tRNA from 1 species
CGGGCGGUGGCUUAGCUCGGUAAAGCGCCUGGUUUGGGACCAGGAGACCGCGAGUUCGAAUCUCGCCCGCCCGACCA